UACGAGGGGGGCGAGCGUUGUUCGGAAUUAUUGGGCGUAAAGGGUGCGUAGGCGGCCUGACAAGUCUGAUGUGAAAUCCCUGGGCUCAACCCAGGGCCUGCAUCGGAAACUGUCGGGCUUGAGUAUGGAAGAGGUGAGUGGAAUUUCCGGUGUAGCGGUGAAAUGCGUAGAUAUCGGAAGGAACACCUGUGGCGAAAGCGGCUCACUGGACCAUUACUGACGCUGAGGCACGAAAGCUAGGGGAGCAAACAGG
rnacentral:rRNA from 1 species